GGAUUAGGCAUGCAAGUCGAACGAGGAUAUAUCCUUCGGGAAAAAACCGAGUGGCGAAAGGGUGAGUAAUGCAUAGAUAACAUACCUUUAGGAUAAGAAUAGCUUUGUGAAAACGAAGAUAAUGCUUAAUAAAACAAGGAAAAAAAGUCUUUCUUUGUCAAAGGGGGGGCAGUAAAAUGCCUUUUGCCUAAAGAGUGGUUUAUGUCUUAUCAGCUUGUUGGUGGGGUAAUGGCCUACCAAGGCGAAGACGGGUAGCCGGCCUUAGAGGGUGGUCGGCCACACUGGGACUGAGACACUGCCCAGACUCCUACGGGAGGCUGCAGUCGAGAAUCUUUCGCAAUGCCCGAAAGGGUGACGAAGCGACGCCGCGUGAGUGAAGAAGGCCUUCGGGUCGUAAAACUCUGUCAGGGGUUAAGAAAGGUAAGCUUGAGAAUAUCUGGCUUAUUUGACAAAAGCCCCAAAGGAAGCCACGGCUAACUCUGUGCCAGCAGCCGCGGUAAUACAGAGGUGGCGAGCGUUGUUCGGAAUUAUUGGGCGUAAAGAGCACGUAGGUGGUUUUGUAAGUCAGGUGUGAAAGCCUUCUGUUCAAAGGAAGAACUGCAUCUGAAACUGCAAAUCUUGAGUAUAGGAGGGGAGAGUGGAACUUCUGGUGGAGCGGUGAAAUGCGUAGAUAUCAGAAGGAACGUCGGCGGCGAAAGCGACUCUCUGGCCUAUUACUGACACUGAGUGUGCGAAAGUUAGGGGAGCAAACGGGAUUAGAUACCCCGGUAGUCCUAACCGUAAACGAUGGGCACUAAGUAGAGGGGUUU
rnacentral:rRNA from 1 species